UACGAAGGGGGCUAGCGUUGUUCGGAAUUACUGGGCGUAAAGCGUGCGCAGGCGGCUUCUCAAGUCAGGGGUGAAAGCCCAGAGCUCAACUCUGGAAUUGCCUUUGAGACUGAGUGGCUUGAGUACGAGAGAGGUGAGUGGAAUUCCCAGUGUAGAGGUGAAAUUCGUAGAUAUUGGGAAGAACACCGGUGGCGAAGGCGGCUCACUGGCUCGUAACUGACGCUCAUGCACGGACAGCCGUGGGGAUCAAACAGGA
rnacentral:rRNA from 1 species